UACGUAGGCAGCAAGCGUUGUUCGGAGUUACUGGGCGUAAAGAGUGCGUAGGCGGUCCUGUAAGUUUGGUGUGAAAUCUCCCGGCUCAACUGGGAGGGUGCGCCGAAGACUGCAGGGCUUGAGUAUGGGAGAGGUAAGCGGAAUUCCUGGUGUAGCGGCGAAAUGCGUAGAUAUCAGGAGGAACACCUGUGGUGUAGACAGCUUUCUGGACCACUUCUGACGCUGAGACACGAAAGCGUGGGUAGCAAACAGG
rnacentral:rRNA from 1 species